ACGGCUCAGUAACACGUGGAUAACCUGCCCUUGGGUCCGGCAUAACCCCGGGAAACUGGGGAUAAUUCCGGAUAACGCACAUAUGCUGGAAUGCUUUAUGCGUAAAAUGGAUUCGUCUGCCCAAGGAUGGGUCUGCGGCCUAUCAGGUAGUAGUGGGUGUAAUGUACCUACUAGCCGACGACGGGUACGGGUUGUGAGAGCAAGAGCCCGGAGAUGGAUUCUGAGACAUGAAUCCAGGCCCUACGGGGCGCAGCAGGCGCGAAAACUUUACAAUGCGGGAAACCGUGAUAAGGGGACACCGAGUGCCAGCAUCAUAUGCUGGCUGUCCAGAUGUGUAAAAUACAUCUGUUAGCAAGGGCCGGGCAAGACCGGUGCCAGCCGCCGCGGUAACACCGGCGGCCCGAGUGGUGAUCGUGAUUAUUGGGUCUAAAGGGUCCGUAGCCGGUUUGGUCAGUCCUCCGGGAAAUCUGAUAGCUCAACUAUUAGGCUUUCGGGGGAUACUGCCAGACUUGGAACCGGGAGAGGUAAGAGGUACUACAGGGGUAGGAGUGAAAUCUUGUAAUCCCUGUGGGACCACCUGUGGCGAAGGCGUCUUACCAGAACGGGUUCGACGGUGAGGGACGAAAGCUGGGGGCACGAACCGGAUUAGAUACCCGGGUAGUCCCAGCCGUAAACGAUGCUCGCUAGGUGUCAGACAUGGCGCGACCGUGUCUGGUGCCGCAGGGAAGCCGUGAAGCGAGCCACCUGGGAAGUACGGCCGCAAGGCUGAAACUUAAAGGAAUUGGCGGGGGAGA
rnacentral:rRNA from 1 species